rnacentral:rRNA from 1 species
UACGAAGGGUGCAAGCGUUACUCGGAAUUACUGGGCGUAAAGCGUGCGUAGGUGGUUGUUUAAGUCUGUCGUGAAAGCCCUGGGCUCAACCUGGGAAUGGCGAUGGAAACUGGGCGACUAGAGUGUGGCAGAGGGUAGUGGAAUUCCUGGUGUAGCAGUGAAAUGCGUAGAGAUCAGGAGGAACAUCCGUGGCGAAGGCGACUGCCUGGGCCAACACUGACACUGAGGCACGAAAGCGUGGGGAGCAAACAGGAUUAGAUACCCUGGUAGUCCACGCCCUAAACGAUGCGAACUGGAUGUUGGGUGCAAUUUGGCACGCAGUAUCGAAGCUAACGCGUUAAGUUCGCCGCCUGGGGAGUACGGUCGCAAGACUGAAACUCAAAUGAAUUGGCGGGG